UCAUCUUUGAGUUCAUCUACAGUCUUGGACCAAAUCAGAAGAAAUAAUCCUGAAGCUUUCAUGUUGUUGCUUUUCUCUCAGAUAUGCAGACUUGUUUUAGCAGGCAGGGAUGUUUUUAUUCUUUAUUUACAAGAUGAAAUUGACUUUGGUCUAAAAAUGUGUCGUUUUAACAGAACAGCCUUCUGUGCACCAACUACACGUAACAGCCUGUAAAUAACAGCUCAGCUGCAGUCUAUUUGUGCACCUACAACAUCCCAACACCUGCUGAUGUCCCCACUCUCAGUGUGAAAGUCCACACAGAGGUGGAGCCCACAGUUAUCAAAGGACACACCAUCAACCACAGAGAUCAUCCAGGAGCUCCCAGUGGACGAC